UGAAGAGCUAAUGCACUUAUGUGAGUUGCGUUUCUCCUCAAUAUUUCACUGAUUUGUCGAUGAAGAACAAGCACAAACUCUUCCUUUGUCAAAAUUCUCAUCUGCUUCAAAUCCUCCUCAUAAUCUCUCAAACUAAAGUUUAUAUCAGCAUUUACUCCACGAUAGCAGCCUUAUCGUAUGCUCUAUGAAUAGAACAAUAUCAUCA
rnacentral:sRNA from 1 species